GCCAGACUUUCUCCUAGUGACAGUGGAGAGCCACAGCAGUUUCUAGAGCCAAGGAGGGAUCUGACAAAAUCAGGGCUUGUGAGAGCCCAUCCUAGAGUCCCUUGUCCUUAAUGAGGGGUUCCCCAUCCCUGCCCAAGUGGUCUAGAAUGGAGUCAGGCCAACCCUAGACUGGAAGGUAGGACACUAGUGUCUUGAAAUCUAGGGCAGAGUCUGGCUGGGAAAUGGUGGAGAGCAAAGGUUCUACUGCCCUUGCCUGGGGUGAGGCCGGCUCCACCUUUCACUGGCUGUACAGCUCCGCACAAGCCCUCAACCUCUCUGAGCCUGGAACCCCUGGGGCAUGAGAAUCAGACAACAUAAUGCCCCUAUGCCAUUCAGCUCAGGCCUGGCACAAAUACAUACUCUGUAAAUUAGCUGUGACCUUGGGCAAGGUACUGACCCCUCUGAACCUCAUUUUCCUCCUUUCUAGAAUAGAGACAGGGAUUUAUGCCCUCAGGGCUGCCAUGUACCUUAGAGUUGACUGUGUGCAUCUUAUAAGCUACAGCUGGAGCGGGGGUGGGUGGGCAGAAGGGGCAGGGCUGCCAAGCCAGGAAGCUGGUGGGCACAGAGCACAGGGCGCCGGUCCCAGUCAGUGGGACCUGCCAUGCCCCUGGGCCUGGAGGUUGCCCCUGGCAGGCCACAGAGGCCCACUGUGACCUGGCCCCAGCCUGCCUCCACUGGGACUGCCCAUCCAUCUUUCGGGUCUGGGGUCGCUGGCUGCCAUUGGGCUUUGCUGCCGCUUCCUCCACCUGCACUGCCCUCCCCUCCCAGUGCCCAUCUUGUGAAAGGCCAGAAUGUGGGUAUGUGAUGGGGAGGCCAUGGGACCUGUGGGACCAGGGAAGAUGCUAGUAGAGGGCAGAACUCAGUCCUUGUUCCAAGACCACGGAGAGGUCUUGGGCCCUCACCCGGAAUAUGCACCAGCCACACCCUCACCUGUGCCGCCUCUGCCCGCAGGUAACCCCCCGCGGCCUAGCCUGGAGCCCGAGGAGCCCAAGAGGCCUGUCCCCGCAGAGCGCGGUAGCAGCUCUGGGACGCCCAAGCUGAUCCAGCGGGCGCUGCUGCGCGGCACCGCCCUGCUCGCCUCGCUGGGCCUUGGCCGCGACCUGCAGCCGCCGGGAGGCCCAGGACGCGAGCGCGGGGAGUCCCCGACAACACCCCCCACGCCAACGCCCGCGCCCUGCCCGACCGAGCCGCCCCCUUCCCCGCUCAUCUGCUUCUCGCUCAAGACGCCCGACUCCCCGCCCACUCCUGCACCCCUGUUGCUGGACCUGGGUAUCCCUGUGGGCCAGCGGUCAGCCAAGAGCCCCCGACGUGAGGAGGAGCCCCGCGGAGGCACUGUCUCACCCCCACCGGGGACAUCACGCUCUGCUCCUGGCACCCCAGGCACCCCACGUUCACCACCCCUGGGCCUCAUCAGCCGACCUCGGCCCUCGCCCCUUCGCAGCCGCAUUGAUCCCUGGAGCUUUGUGUCAGCUGGGCCACGGCCUUCUCCCCUGCCAUCACCACAGCCUGCACCCCGCCGAGCACCCUGGACCUUGUUCCCGGACUCAGACCCCUUCUGGGACUCCCCACCUGCCAACCCCUUCCAGGGGGGCCCCCAGGACUGCAGGGCACAGACCAAAGACAUGGGUGCCCAGGCCCCGUGGGUGCCGGAAGCGGGGCCUUGAGUGGGCCAGGCCACUCCCCCGAGCUCCAGCUGCCUUAGGAGGAGUCACAGCAUACACUGGAACAGGAGCUGGGUCAGCCUCUGCAGCUGCCUCAGUUUCCCCAGGGACCCCACCCCCCUUUGGGGGUCAGGAACACUACACUGCACAGGAAGCCUUCACACUGGAAGGGGGACCUGCGCCCCCACAUCUGAAACCUGUAGGUCCCCCCAGCUCACCUGCCCUACUGGGGCCCAACACUGUACCCAGCUGGUUGGGAGGACCAGAGCCUGUCUCAGGGAAUUGCCUGCUGGGGUGAUGCAGGGAGGAGGGGAGGUGCAGGGAAGAGGGGCCGGCCUCAGCUGUCACCAGCACUUUUGACCAAGUCCUGCUACUGCGGCCCCUGCCCUAGGGCUUAGAGCAUGGACCUCCUGCCCUGGGGGUCAUCUGGGGCCAGGGCUCUCUGGAUGCCUUCCUGCUGCCCCAGCCAGGGUUGGAGUCUUAGCCUCGGGAUCCAGUGAAGCCAGAAGCCAAAUAAACUCAAAAGCUGUCUCCCC
rnacentral:lncRNA from 1 species